CACAACAAAUAAUAGCAACAAGACCAGCAGUAACCCAAUGAUAACCCAGUGAAGAAAGACCCCAGGAAUAGAUUUAAAAACCAAGCAGAAAAUCCAGCAAUAACCAGUAGAUUGGUAACAAUACUAAUUCUAAUAUUCAGCAGUAAAGAAAAGACCUCACUUUUGGUUUUUAAUUCUCAAAGACUGAAUUCUUGAGUUCUGAAAUUUGUCUCUCGC
rnacentral:lncRNA from 1 species